UUGCUUUCGCAGCACAUAUACUAAAAUUGGAGUGACACAGAAGAUUAGCAUAACCCCUGCAAAAGGAUGACACACAAAUUCGUGAAGUGUUCCAUAUUUUU
ensembl:snRNA U6 U6 spliceosomal RNA